rnacentral:rRNA from 1 species
UACGUAGGGGGCGAGCGUUGUCCGGAAUUACUGGGCGUAAAGCGCAUGUAGGCGGGCGACUAAGUCAGGGGUGAAAACCGUGGGCUCAACCUACGGCUUGCCUUUGAUACUGGUCGUCUUGAGUACAGGAGAGGGAAGCGGAAUUCCCGGUGUAGCGGUGAAAUGCGUAGAUAUAGGGAGGAACACCGGUUGCGAAGGCGGCUACCUGGCCGGUAACUGACGCUGAGGUGCGAGAGCGUGGGGAGCAAACAGG